CAAGGCUUGGAAUCAUGAUGCUGUGGGCCUUGCCAGCGUCAAGCGGGUGAUCAAGGGGAUCUCCACACACCCGCCGGUAUAGCCGCGUCACUACUAAAGUAGGCCGCCAAGAGAAGCCCGCAUUGCUCUUGGUGCUCCGAAUUUUAUAUGUAGUGCGUGCCGCACGCCGUGGAGGGGUGGGUCGUGUUGGACGGCCUAGAAGGUGCGGAACGCCG
rnacentral:ncRNA from 1 species